AAAAUUAAUAUUAGGUAUUUAAGUUGUGAUUUUGUGUGAGUAUGUUUGUAUAG
rnacentral:guide_RNA from 1 species